rnacentral:rRNA from 1 species
GACGAACCGUGCGAACGUUAUUCGGAAUCACUGGGCUUAAAGCGCGUGUAGGCGGGCCGGCACGUCGGUCGCUGAAAUCCCCCGGCUCAACCGGGGAAGGGGCGCCGAUACGACCGGCCUGGAGGGGGGUAGGGGGCGCUGGAACUCACGGUGGAGCGGUGAAAUGCGUUGAGAUCGGAAGGAACGCCCGUGGCGAAAGCGAGGUCCUGGACGCCUACUGACGCUGAGACGCGAAAGCCAGGGGAGCGAACGGG